rnacentral:lncRNA from 1 species
ACUUACGCUGCGCAGCGGAAAAGGCGGCGUGGGCUAGGGCAAAGAGACCGAUGCCCACCAGCCCCUUCCACAGCGACGGCGCCAUGAUGCCGAAGGAGCAGCAGCCCAGCAAAAGAAGCGAAGGACGGCGGAGCUGUUUCUUCUUCCACCGGCGGGUGUCCGCGCGCCGCAGAAAGAUGACGUCACUGAAGUCCUGAGCGCAAAGUGUCUCAGUGGUGGAAAAGCCAGAGGGCUGUGAGAAAACGGAAACAGGAAUGCCGGGAAGAAGCAGAAAGCUACACGGAAAAAGGCCUUUCCUGUGCUUCAGCUCCCUGGAAACUGGCACUGCAGAAGGAGGCAAGGGUGUUAAAACGAGGAGGCAGUGUCAGGACAAAAUCCCAGGAUCUGGAACCCCAAAUACUUGGCUCGCGGGAAGUGCUCAGUAAACCAUUUUAAGGUCCUGGAGAAAGAUUCGCGCAAAAAGAGGUGUAGCGCGGGGGGAGUGUUUUGUCGUGAAAAGAACCAGCUUACAUUAAGGAAGAAAUGAAAGAGGAAAUUUUAAAAUGCUAAUAACGCAGCCUUCUUGCCUUGUCUCUAUCUCUGAUCCGGUUCCUCCAGUGACCCCUGACUGAGUGGC